CAUGCAGUCGAGCGGUAGAGAGAAGCUUGCUUCUCUUGAGAGCGGCGGACGGGUGAGUAAUACCUAGGAAUCUGCCUGAUAGUGGGGGAUAACGUUCGGAAACGGACGCUAAUACCGCAUACGUCCUACGGGAGAAAGCAGGGGACCUUCGGGCCUUGCGCUAUCAGAUGAGCCUAGGUCGGAUUAGCUAGUUGGUGAGGUAAUGGCUCACCAAGGCUACGAUCCGUAACUGGUCUGAGAGGAUGAUCAGUCACACUGGAACUGAGACACGGUCCAGACUCCUACGGGAGGCAGCAGUGGGGAAUAUUGGACAAUGGGCGAAAGCCUGAUCCAGCCAUGCCGCGUGUGUGAAGAAGGUCUUCGGAUUGUAAAGCACUUUAAGUUGGGAGGAAGGGCAUUAACCUAAUACGUUAGUGUUUUGACGUUACCGACAGAAUAAGCACCGGCUAACUCUGUGCCAGCAGCCGCGGUAAUACAGAGGGUGCAAGCGUUAAUCGGAAUUACUGGGCGUAAAGCGCGCGUAGGUGGUUUGUUAAGUUGAAUGU
rnacentral:rRNA from 1 species